UUCUGGUUCUGUCUAAAACACAGUUGUGAGACUUUGGUGCUGAAAUUAGCAUCAGCUCACCUGGGGGAGGGCCCCAGCAGACCUGAACAGAUAAAAGGACAGUGCCACGUGUGCCACGUGGCGUGCUCCACCACCCUGGACUUAAAAGCAGCUGAGGCCAUGCUGGAUCCUGGGGUGCUAACUAUUUACCUUUCUCUCUCCUUUUUUUUUCUUUCUCUUUUUCUUUCUUCUCCUACCUUCUUCUCCUCAGAAUAGAUCGGAAACCAGAACAAAAAAUUCCAUUCCAUGCCUUGUUAAGUGCCUUGUUGUAUCUGGAAAAGUUAAAGAUUGCUAAGUUAAAUUUUCCCAAGCACCUUAUUCCAUUGGAAUGUUCUAAAGCUUUCAAAUAAAAGUUAUUUUUGAACCUCCUGAGAAUUUUUUUGUUUCUCCUGUGCACUGCCCUGAGUAAAUACAACUACCUUCCCCUAAACCCACCCAGUGGACUGGGGCACUACAGACUUGUGAGUCCAGCUGGUCCUUUCCCUUGAGAUUGUUCACAAGGGUCUCAUUCUGCUUCCUCUAUAAAGCUAAAGAUUUUACCCUGUGAGUACUGUGUGUGGGAACUGGAAUUUGGUCACCAUUUCAUUUUGUAUCUGAUCAUUGAUCUAUGACUGAAUAUCCAGUUGAGUGUGGUGGGAAGUGAUAGACAGAAGAAGAAGAGCUGAUGUUCAAGCAAGAGCUAACUCUUCUCAGACAGGAGAUAGUAUCUGUUCCAGUUAUCCUGAAUUCUUCCCUGGGAACAGAUCAUGGCUGGGAUAUGUUCUCUGUGCUACUGCAAGAUAAAUGGUGACUCAGAAAAAACUGGCCAGAGAAAUCUACUACCCAGUUCAGAAGAAAGAGAACAAAACCAGCCUGUUCAUUCAGAGUAAUGCACAAAAAAAUAGAAAUAAGUAGAUGGAGAAAAUCGUGGUAUCUGCUGGGAAUUAACUGUUCAAAGAAGGAAAGUAGAUUACUGCAGCUCUCGAUAAGAUGGAGGAACAGAUGGAUGUGUAAUGCACACAAAACCUAAGUACAAGAUCUCAGCUCUCAACCAGCAGCCACAGUGAAAUGUACAAAAAUCAGGUGUAGCUACUCUACAGUUCUUGGCUGAAAAACAAUUGAUCCAUCACUCUAAAAAGAAACUUCUAAGACGAGUAUUUAAGUUUUCAUCUACCAAAAGCUCAAAUAGAAAGUUUAUUUCUGAGCAAUAGAAAUGUCACCAUCGUUAGUGGGAUUUAUAGUUGCAAAUUAUCAGAUAAGUGAUAGUGCACUGCUUCAUUAACUCAAUAAGAUUAAUUUUAUGCCUUUUGAUAGGUGUUCUGUACUUGUGCUAUGCUCUCAUAUUUCUAUACUAUAUGUGUUGAGUAUUUAUUUGUUCUUCUCGGUGGUCGUAUGUACUAUGUUAAGAGUUCUGAUUUUCAGUAACAAUAGUUUAACUUUCAAGUAUAAUCAUAUAUGAUAAUUUUUUUCUUCUAUACAUGUACUGUUCCCUCAUUCCCAAUAUAAUUGACAUUUCAGUCUCAGCAUAGUAAGAACACAAUCACAGUUGUAAAUGCAUUGUCAGAUUGUGCUUUGGUUUGCCAAAACUGUUUCUAUAUUAAUUUGAGGUCAUUGACUGUUAACAAUAUGGAAUGUCAUGAAUAUGAACUAAAUCAAUGUGAUUACCACAGUGGAAAAAUUAAUCACCUAGCUUGUCUUUAUCGUUUGACUACCAGCAGAUAGGAAUCUAUAAACAUAAAGGCAACUAAAAAGCACCCAGGUAUGCUCUUGCAUAUUUAUCCUCUUGAUAAUAAUAUCUUUGAAAAGAAGGCUGUAAAGGACACACUUAACUUUUUAUGUAAAAAUGCUGAGAAGUGAAAAUAUAUUAAGUCAAUGAAUGCCAUUUACAAUUAAUUUUCCAAUUUGCAAUAAAUAUUCAUAAUGUUAAGUCAUAAAAUACUUCAGUAAAGAGUCAAGCAAUAAGUAGGGAAGGUGUAAGAGAACAAACAAAAAGCAAGGCAGAAGGCUUUUAUGCUGGUAGCUCAGAGCCUCUUUUGUUUCCAUGAUCACCUGCGGAAAAAACUUAGAUAUGCACUAGAAGACAUGAUAAGCGUUUAAGGGGAUUAUGUUUGGAAAACAAACUCAAAAGAUUUUGGUAGUAUUUGUGUUACAAUGGCUGUUUAAAAAACAAACUAUGAUAAUAUAUUUGAAUGUGCUACUGAUUAGUAAAGCCAAGAUAAUAACAGAGAAGAAUAAUUUUGUCUUUAAAAAUAAAAGGAAAGGGUUUGUAAAAAAUAAAUGACAAUAUUUUGUCUCCAGUAGAGACUGGAUUCAGCAUAGGUGCACAAAGGUAAAUAUAUUCUAUUAUUUCUAUAUGAAAUGUUAAAUUGAUGAACACAUUACUCAGUGAUCAUUUUUGUGAUUGGUUUUCAUUACCAUAAAAUGAUCAUGUCCUACCUUUAGGUAUGACCAGAUCAAGGUCUGUGAGUACUACCUAAAACAAAGUUUCAAAGUCACAUGAAUGACUAGCUAUAAGAAUGUGUUUAGGUUUGAAAACAAGUAUUUCCUGGCAGAACCGCUAUCAAGUUUAUUUACUAUAGAAAAAGUAACACUGUAUUUUGGCAUCUGAAAAAUCAAAUAACAGUAGAACUCAUAUAACAAAGUCAUUGCUGCCUACAGAAUUCUUUAGAAAUACAAAAUGACUGUGCUGUAUCA